rnacentral:rRNA from 1 species
AGGACGAACGCUGGCGGCGUGCUUAACACAUGCAAGUCGAACGGUGAACCGGGCUUCGGCCCGGGGAUCAGUGGCGAACGGGUGCGUAACACGUGGGCAACCUGCCCCCGACACUGGGAUAACUCCGGGAAACCGGGGCUAAUACCGGAUACUCCGACCGAACCUCAUGGCUCGGUCGGGAAAGGUCCGCCGAUCGGGGAUGGGCCCGCGGCCUAUCAGCUUGUUGGUGAGGUAACGGCUCACCAAGGCAACGACGGGUAGCUGGUCUGAGAGGACGACCAGCCACACUGGGACUGCGACACGGCCCAGACUCCUACGGGAGGCAGCAGUGGGGAAUCUUGCGCAAUGGGCGAAGGCCUGACGCAGCGACGCCGCGUGGGGGACGAAGGCCCUCGGGUUGUAAACCCCUUUGGCAGGGACGAAGCGAACGUGACGGUACCUGCAGAAGAAGCCUCGGCUAACUACGUGCCAGCAGCCGC